AUGCAAAUAGCGCAGAGUGGCGAGACGACUACAGUGAGUGCACGAAUAAUGUAGGGGAGCAUUUCGGGGUAUCGGUGUCUUGCUCAAGGACACCGGGGGACGUUGGCGGAUGGUCCGGUCGGGAAUCUCAAAAUCAAAUACGUCAUCAGACAACAAGCCUCAAAUCACUACUGAGUCUUAUUUGGUGUUGUUAAUGGAACUACGGAAUAAGUGCCAACGUUCGCACUUGCGCUGCAUUUGUAUUUUCUGGGCUCUCUAUGGAAGUAUCCGACCGUAUUUUCCUGCGCCAUUGUAUCUUAGUUUACAUUAAUGCCCGAGUCGGAAAUUGGCCUUCAUCCAAAAAUUCCAAACAACAAACUCGUGGUUGACCUACAUUCACACAGCAGUGGAAGAUGCUUGAGGUGGACCGGGGGGGGGGGGGGGGGCAGGAUCACAAGGAUGAGCCGCCGGUAAUGCCGCUCCGAUUGUUCUAUUAAGACGAAAGGGGCCAACGCGGCGACUGUUCAACGAGAUAAUGUGAGAGGAAAUUUACAGCGCAUGUGGGUCGCUUUCUUUCAUCCUGCGGCUCCAAGCGUCACUUGCGAGACGGACGGCUCACUUUUGAGCUUUGUUCUCCCGCCGAUCAGAGUUGCUUGAUUGCAGAUGGCUAAAAUGUAGAAACCGUUUCCAUGUGGCCUAGACUAGCACGGUCUCGGAGUUUGCGGCUGUUACUUUUAUCAUGAUGAUGAUGCAGUUUACGGUGGUAUGGAAUUGCUGCGUUGUGACAAUGUGGUAUUUUGUCUUAACGUCAUGUGCUUGAAAACUGACCUUUAUAAAACAGACUUCUCAAUUCACAACACAAAACCCGCUGGUUGAACCGUCGUCAUUAAAAGCCAAGGAGAUUUUAGCAAAUCUUCAGACAUCAGUUUACCGUCGACGACUUUCGCUCAGUAAGCCUUAAAUGCAUCAAUUCCAUAAUCGUGUGCUUUUUGUGGGGCUGGAGGAUGAUGCCGCGCCACAAAGUAGCUUGUUAAGCUAUUGUUCAAUCUUUUUAAAGGGGGUUUGUUUGCUAACAACAUUAAAUGCUUAUUACAAUAUCUCAAUGUUAUUAAAAGGGAAGAAUAUCAACCAUUUUGGUACAGAUUUGAGUGAAAAAGUAGUAGUAGCACAUGCUUUGCUUAAGUGGACCGUGUAAAUUCACGUGGUGGGCCAGAUGUGGCCCCCACGCCUCGAGUUUGAAGUGUAUGCAUUAGCGUACCAAACGACAACUCGACACAUCAGAAUAUGCUCGAAAAGGCCAUUUAUUUCCGUACUCGCACAUGAUCUCAAUCCAUGAAACACUUGGGCAAAGUCCUGCCUAAUUUCCACAUUUUGACAUUCCGACGUUUUGAAUUGAACUCGCCAACUGAAUGAAGCUUCUGCUACGAUUGGGAUUGAUCGCGACGCACCUCGACCUGACAGCGGCCUUCUGGGUGAGUUGAAGAAGAAGAAGAAGACGAGUUGACUGUUGACUGUGUUUGAGUCUUCCCAUUAACGCUUUCAAUGUUUUGGUUUUUACGCUUGCAUGAUUUAAGGUUGUUCAAGUGUACAGUUAAUAAAUGUUUUAGGAUUGUGUGUUUUUUGCCGCCCUUGAGGACUCGCACGCUUGCCAGAACUAAGACGAGAGCGUGCCAAAUCCUCCGCAUCCCGGUCGCCGCCUCUUCCGGCGGGCCUCGGGCCGACGCCGACCCGGAUCGCAGGGCACCUGCGGCAAAAGGAAAACCUUUCAGGUUCACAUUCUACACCUCUUCGAAGAGCGGAGAUUGAGUCCACGCUGGCGCACGAACGUCAGAUGCUAGAGGGGAGAAAAAAAAGCAGCACGGCAAUUUGAAUCGCAACCACGGCGAGUCGAGGAUCAGACGUUUGAAGGUGCUGAGGUCCCGGCCAGGCAAGAUCAAUUCACGCAAUUUCUAUGAAAGAGAAGCAUAACACUUUUGGGAGAAAGUCUGUGACUAAUCCGUCAAAUCUGAUAAAGGUUAUUUCAAUGUUGAGCCAGAGCAAAAGAGCAUUUCUAAAACAAAUCUACUGUAACCGCAUGCAUUAUUUUUUUUUCUGCCUAAUGGCACCGUCGAUCUGUGCCUAGCUUUAUUUCUGCUGUAUGCGGAUGAAGAUGAGACAUUUGAGUUUUUCCGGGGAAGAUUUUGUGCAUGGUGUUUUCCCUGCCUGUGUAGAUCACUGACAUCAAUCAGCAGCUGAGUCUGAUUAAUAAAGGUAAAUUUCCGAUGUUCCACAUUAUAAAGCAAGAACAGUGACUAAAGAUAGAACAGUGACUACCGCAGCAGAAUCAUUCUUUGCAAGAAAAUGCACCAUCCCGCACCGCAAAAAAAAUAGCAUUGAAGUUUUCAUGUCGCGGCCAUCGUCGUCCCCUGACCGCAACCCCAUUGAGAACCGGUGGAGCAUCUGCAAAAGGAAGCUGUACGUAUGAGGGUGGACAGCAGUACACCUCCAAGCGGCAUCUCUGGGAGGGAAGCCUUACAUCCUCAAGUGACAUCCGAACAGAAACUAUCAAAUUACAUGUUCGAUGGCUGUGAAACGAGGCGAGUGUGGUGAAGGACCCGAGUGCAAAACACCGAACCGCCAGAAAAGUUGCAAAGGAUGUUGAUCAUUCAUUCAAGAUCAAGUGUGACGGGUCAAUUCAAAGCCAGGAUGCAGUGCACUUUAACGUCACGGUCGAGAGGGUCAGGCUUUGAAGAUAGCUUUGUCUUGGCCAAGGUGAUGCAAUGUUCCGCAAUCCACAGACAGCAGUUCAGGAAAUGCUCGGAUUUCACUGUCGUCUUAAUUCACGAUUCACGGGGAAACUCGCACCUUGCCGUCCUUGUCGCAGAAUCCCCAACAGCCACGGAGCCAGAAACGGGCAAACGUGAUACGGCCCAACUCCCACUACGUCGUGUUUCUGCGUCUUGCAUGUAUAAUGUCCGACACGCUGACCCUGAUUGCAUCAUCAACGAGGCUUGAAAUGGCUGACCGAUUGGCCGUCUGUCAUGGCAGACCGUGACAGGAUGAGAGCAUUAUUAAGGUGCUACUGAAGCGGCAAUGGUGAAAAGGUAUACGAGUGGCCAACGUUCCAAAAAUCCCAUCAAGUAGGCUUCUAGCCGUUUUUGGCUUGCGUGGCUGUAUCGUGGCUAGGAGUCGCAUCUUUUGUGUUUGAGAUUGUUUUCUUCUGAAUUCACAUUCAACUGGAUGCCACCAAUGACGCAAACGGAGGCUAAAUGCCACUGUCGGCACAUUUUUGACGGGAUCCUAACUCUACUUUUUUUUAGCUUCAAGUCCUUCAAUUUGUAUCUGUAAAUUAGUUGAGUCUUUCUGCAACCAGAGAUAAACAUUUGGUUCGUGACCAAAAAAAACAACAACACAGGAGUUGUUUUACUAUGUUAAAAUGACUCCCCAUAAAAGGAAACCAAAAUGACUACGCCAUUGUAUUUAAUAGUUACAUCAAGCGGGAAGACACACAAUCCAGCUUCUUCCUCAGCCAAGCAAGAGUCACAUGUCUUCUGUUCUGAAGGCAUGACUUGAAAUGUCACAGUAAUCUGCCGAGGGAACAUUUCUUGCCUUGUCGACUUGGAAACUUGCCAUCUAACCGCAUUCCCUUCCCCACAGGUGCCAUCUGACACAAACCGGAGCAAACGGAACCGCCGAAAAGGCGACUCACGCAUGAAUCCAACUACUGUUCAAGCGCUCGUAGAUUCAUUGAUACUAUCGCAGUUUAAAAAAAAAAAAAAGUUUUUGUAUGUAGGUCAUGUGCAGUGGAAGAGCGCUGCCAAUCAUGUGACUAUCGAAGAUCAAAUGUGCGCUCAAGGACACAUUCAUUGUGUCUUGUGAAAAGAAAAAGAAGAUCAGAGAGAAACGCCAUCUUGAGCUUUUCAUCUUGCUCUUAAAAGGCCAAUUGUUCGUUUGUUGGUGUCCGCACGCAUGCGUCCAAACUCAGAGCAACGGACUAAUUCAUAAGCAGCAGCAUAUGGCGACAAGUUCCUGAUAUUCCAUUCGUCAUGUUUCAGUGAUUAGUAUUUGUUCAAAAGGCUGUUCAAAUGAAACAAACAUGUGCCAUAAACACAUGUACUCCUUUUGAUUUACUUUUUUUUUACUAGGAUCAUUUACACACUGGCAUAUAAAGACGUAAGGAUUUUUUUGGAGAACUUGCGUAAUGAGAAGCAUGCAUCACCAAUCGGCUUCCAAUUCUCCUCUUCCAUUCCCCAGCGAGCAUCGGCGGGCUGUCGCGUCAUCGGCGCGAGCGAUAAAUACCGUACCGCUUCACGUCUUCGCGACACGUGCUACAAACGACAAACAAAUUCCGGCGUCGCCACGGCCUUUAACUGCAGUUUGUUGCUCGAUAAAAGCGUUGCAAGUUGUACGUUUUUCUGCCCGAGGGAGCUUUGGGCAUACGUUGGGUUCAAAACUCAAAAAGCGUUUCACAGCUUUUCCACUACACGGUGAAAGCGGCAGGAGCUCGCUCGGCCCUUCUCGCCUCGCUUCGCGCCGGCCGUGCUGCACUUUCAAAUAUUACAGCUGCUGCGACAUUGCUGCUUUGAACGCCUCAAUUAGAACGAUACGGGCUAACGAACCACUCUGGAGGAGGACGAGGCUCUCUUGCUUUUAGUGCAGGUUGAAAAGCACUGCUAACGAGUACAGCUGUGCCGAGCUGCAUAUUUUAUGUGCAGCAGAAAGGGUGCUGUUUGUUUGCCGGAGAAAUGUUUCCAAGUGGAAAAGUGCUGUUUGUUUGCCGGAGAAGUAUUUCCAACACAUUCCCCGGCUCAACAUCAGGGUUUCAUUUAGACAGGGCAAACACUAAAUGGACACAGAUGGAUUGCGCAGUUGCCGUUUAAUAGCACCUGUAUUUUUGUCAAUGGCGCAUCUACGGCGGGUGCAAUUUCUGGCGUAUCCUGAUUUUUGUGUGAGCGCGAAGCUCGCUGCGCAUUUCCAAUUUGGCAGACCGAUCUGCGACAAGCUGGACAUUUCGGCGCAACCAGGGUGUGUCUUUUGACAAUUUGGUGGCAGAAAGUCUUAGCCCGGCACAGUAGGUAGACCAGCUGGCCUAAUACGAGUUUGGUGAAUUGGAUCGGUGCGCAGGCAACAGAUUCGCAAGCACAGCGGACGGGCGGUAGAUGCCAGACGUAAUCCAUUCAUCGAACGCUUUAUUAUUAUCCUCAUCAUUGGUUUUUAAAUCGUGCCACUGGCAGCUAACAAUCGGGGCGGGGAUAGAUGCGUGAUCUCCGUGAACAUAUUUAGGUUGCCAACGAUCAUCAGCAGCUCGUUGUGUACUUAAUCAGCGUAGCCGCUCAGCGGCCGAGAGCAGCGACGACGCGUCAUCCUACGCGCAGAGACCGUCAUCGCGCGGCAUUUCAAGGGAAUGAGAGGAGCCGCUUUGAUUGGACACGAUUGAAGUCGGCUGUGUUGACGCCACGGCGGCGCAGCCCGGCCUUCUUAAUACGCCGCCUCGCGCUCGUCUGUGAAAUGACCACAACCCCGUCUAAACCGCCUCCGCGCAGACUGACGCCACCCGCUGCGCCGGAUGUAAGCCGGUCACAAAAAGAGAAGUCUUCUGGUUAAAAUGAAUAAAUAAAUAGAAGUUCAUGCAAUAGGCUGUUUGUGUAUGUCGCAGCUUACACACACGAGAGAAGGCGGGAGCGUGAUAAUCAAAUUGCAACCCAAGUUAAGUUACAGAUGAGGGAAAAAAAUUGAAGUCAAACAUUUCCUCAUUGCCUCGUUGCAGUAAAAAUGCGAUUAUACUGUGACAUUGUGUGCGUGUUGUUUUUCUGGGGGGAACCUUCUAAACCGUAAACAAUUUCAAAUAUACAGUACAUCCGGUAAGGACUUGGUGCGACAGUUAAUUUGCACAGCUCUGAUUUGUUUGAACUAUUUAUUGCUCGACAUCCCAACGAAGCACCUUUGACAAGAAACGUUCUCCCUUCUUCUCCCGGACGUGGACCUCAGCACGUAUAUACACGUCUAGGAAACCAAUUUCCCGUUCACAAUGUUCGUUUCCGCGCAUGGCAACGUAGCAUAGCGCAAGGCCGCUGACUCAUCGGUCACACAAAGGUCGCCCACAAUACGUACAGGUACAGCAAAGACCAAGUCAAUCAAAUACUAAAAUCACUUUUGAUAACACGAAAUCAAUGUCAUGAAUAUGCAAAACAAUGUCUGCAAUAUGAAUCAUACAAUAUUCAGUUACAAUGAUGUCUUGUAUGAGGUUAACUUUAAAUAUCACAUGUAGGACACGACUCGACGGGCGCCUUCUUCACGCGCGAGAGAAAUCCGAACAGAGGUUUGGUUGUGAGAGCAGAUUUGGUUAGGUCACACAAAAAUAAACAGCUGGAAAUGUCGCUCCGCACACGCACACACAGGAAAAGUACAGAUUGCAUGGAAACAAAUCUUUGGUUUUUUUUUCCCCCCGUCCUGCAUCCGUUUGUGUGAGUGUGAGCGUGUAUGAAAUUCUGUGUCUAUGUGGGGCGCGUCUAAAAAAAUAAAUACAAAUAAUAAUCAUCCCCAGCACCACGGACCACUCGAUUAGUGGAAUAAGAAAGUGGAGCAAAAAAAAAAACUGUUUGUGGCUCUUGUUGAGUUAUCACAAAAAUAGAGGUCAUGUUAAGUUUUUUUUUUUUUUUUUUUUUUUUAAUAAAAUGACCUGAUAAAUUUAGUCACAAAAUGUGUCACAAUUGAGAUUUUGGUGGUGGUGGCAAAAUGCGGAGGCAAGAUGUAGUGGACUCGAAUGCCGGCAAGGUGGGAAUGCAGUUGUCUUUUUUUUUUUUUUUUUUUUUUUAAACACACUAAUAAAGAAUAAAGACACUACAAUCAAAAACCUAACCUGAUACGGGAAUCGUGACUUCAGCAAUAACGCGCCAACACAAACUGAAAGAAAGCAGGGAAGCAAAUACAAGUGAACUAACGCGACAACGAGGCACACCUGGACUUGACGCGGCUGAUCGGGAGACGCGAGGAACAGGGCUGACGAGAACAGGCGGAAGCGAAAACCUAACGAGCGCGACGAGACUUCAACGUGGAACACAACGGGACACAAGAUGGAAGAAAAGGACACGAGACGGUGUGCACACAACUACAUUGUCUUAGUUGUUGCCUUUUUACUUUCCGUGGUAUUUUUUUCCCCAAAAAAAUUCCCCCAAGUAAAUUGUUCAUUUUCCCAUUCGUAUUAAGGUGGAAAAAUGAAAUGAUUCAUUUUGGCCUCAAGUUUGCUAUCACAAAAACAACAGGGGUGUGUAGACUUUCUAUCCACUGCAGAUUGUGAUCGUAAGAGUAAUGAAACGUUUCUGCCGAGAUUUGUUGUGAUUUUCAACUUGUCCCGUCGGGGUUGACCACAGCGAGUCACUCGCAAGAAGUUUUUACAACGCCAGAUGGCCUUCCGAAUGCAACCCAACCGUUUUUUUUUUUUUUUUUUUUUUUAUCCGGACUUGGGCACAGCCGCGGCGGGGAAUCGAACCCGCCUGCAACGUCUGCACGCAAGGCGGCAGCGCCUUCCUGCAGAGCGCCAUUGAGGCAAAUGUCGUCCUUGUUGUCUCUCGGCAGAUGAGGACCAGCAGACUCACGUGCCGAUGGUUUGGGGCGGAAGGGAUGAUGGGGGCCAGACGGAAAUCGUGUCGCGGGAACACAUGCGUCACACCCACAAUGUGAUUGGAAAAGGUUCAGCUGCGGAGGAAGGCCCAAAUGAAAGCAGAAAAUCCGUUUCAAGCGACUCGACGUGCUUACGUUGAUCGAUUAGGCCGCAAAAUGUUCACAUGAGCUGUAUGGAACAUUCCAUAGGUGAACUGAUGAAUUCUUAACAGGUGAGAAAAUGAUGUCCUCUUUCAGUGGCUCUGUUGUCAAUUAUAAAGAUUAUUGCUUUAAAACAACUCAAGCCAACAAGAAAGAAAAAAAAAAAAAGAGGAAAAGAAAAUCGACACAUUAUGGUCAAGUCUAUUGGAGCACAAUUUCAAAAUAUGAUCCUUUUGCGCAAAUCUUUGAGUCCUCUGAGCCUCGUUUAUCAAAGAGUGCGUAAAACAGAUUCGCACGACCGAAAUGUUGAAGGUGUGUUAGUGCGAAAAUAAUCACACAGUAGUAAGUAAUCAGUGUUGAUUAAUCCUACCUGUUGUACAUUUCCACACUCGCGGGCGCUGAGCCUCAUUUGCAUUGGGAAACGCCUCCAAACGACCAUAUAUGGUAGCGGCAAUCCUUUUAAGAAAUCCAAAAUCAUGGCAAAGAAAACGGAACAUCUCCGAGACCGACACUGAAGACACAAAUGACGUGGGAGAACGUAUAAGCCCUGCUGUGAAUUGGAUCCAAGAAAAGAAAUGGUCGUGCUCACACUCGAUGCCAAAAGACGGCAAUGAUCUUUGAUUAACUGGAGUAGGACAAGCAAGCGCUUUCACCUACGACUUCUCGGAUCCAUGUUGAUUUCGGCCAGUCUGUCACGAUUCGAGGCUUUUUGGUGUGUUGGCGGCAAAAGGUGAACCCGAGUGCAGGGAAGCAGGAAGGAUGGAUGUACUCAGGAAAAAAAAAAAAAAAAAGAUUGUUUCAAAGAAGGCAAACAAGGCGCGUGGAAGCAAACACCAAAUCAACAAAGUCCCAAAGACAAAGUUCAAAGUGUCAAACCAACAUUGGGAAACGAAACAAACAGCUACAAAACAACAAGGCGACUGACGUGACGGCUCUCCGGAAAUACGACACGUGACGACAACAACGAUCCGACGCAGAAUGAACAAACUCGGGCAACUAAAUGCAAACAAACCCAUCAGACAACGAGGCGCACCCCGGACGAGACACGAGUGGCCGGAGGGAGCCGAUGGGUUGACACCUUUAGAGGGCUGACGGGACAUGAACGUGAGACACAGCGAAACUUGACAAAACCACAAAGCAAACUCAAUCUCAUCAAAGGCGCUUUUGUAACACAAUCAUCAACAAGUACACGACAGUAGUGUCAAUGAGAGCAUUUGAGUAGUUAAUGAGAGCAAAACACGUGCGUAUGAGAGUGUUUGAGUAGUUGUGUGUGUGUGAAAGCAUUUGAACAGUAAGUGUGAGAGCUCGUCAUGUGAGAUGUUGAAAUCACAGGAAAAUCUGUUAUUUCAUUACACUUGCUUUUUCUUUUAAUCGGAUAAACAAACAACUACAAAUGUUGUUCAUAAAGUGAAUAAAAAGAAAUAACUCACAUUUGGCGAUCUGUUUUUCAUUGGACAACUACAUAAUGAGAUUUGAGAUUUGAUUUUAUUUUUUUAAUUAAAUGCACAUUAAUGAACACUGAUUUGUGUAAGUGUGACGCAAUUAGCAUAGAGCUACUUGACAUUUGUGGUCCAUAAAAAACAGACGAGACCUAUCAACAAGUGCAUAAAAUCAUUCAAUAAAU